AUUGAACGCUGGCGGCAGGCCUAACACAUGCAAGUCUAGCGAGCGGCGGACGGGUGAGUAAUGUAUGGGGACUGCCCGAUAGAGGGGGAUAACUACUGGAAACGGUGGCUAAUACCGCAUACUAUCGGAUAACCCAUAUGGGAUUAGCUAGUAGGUGGGGUAAAGUCUCACCUAGGCGACGAUCUCUAGCUGGUCUGAGAGGAGGUUCAGCCACACGGGGAUUGAGACACGGCCCAGACUCAUACGGAGGCAGCAGUGGGGAAUAUUGGACAUUGGGCGAAAGCCUGAUGAACCCAUGCCGGGUGUAUGAAGAAGGCCUUAGGGUUGUAAAGUACUUUCAGCGGGGAGGCGUUACCCGCAGAAGAAGCACCGGCUAACUCCGUGCCAGCAGCCGCGGUAAUAC
rnacentral:rRNA from 1 species